UAUUUGUGACAGGAUCAGCUGUGAGCAGAGGAAGAAGGUGGGGAAGAGGAGGUGACGUAGAAGGGAAGACAGUCCUCUUUCAGUUCAUCUGUAAUAAGCUUGUCAGAUCGGAGAAACAUGUGAAUGCACCACCUCUGAUACCAGAUUUCAGUGUAUGCUAAUUGUUCAUUUGAUAUGGAAAUAAUUCUAAAUUAUUUUUGUUAUUUCUCAUCGUUGCACAUUUGUUGAUUUAAGUUUCCAGGAUGCCUCCAGUUUUAUACACAUUUGGAUUUUUACUGCUCGUCCUUACAAGAAAAGUGCAAAGUGUUUCAGUCCAACAGUCCUCUCCUCAAGUUGUAAAGGAAGGGACUGUGGAGCUCACGAUAAACUGCAAUCAUGAUGACAGCAGCCUCCAAGUAAUGCUGUGGUACCAACACAAACAGAGCAGUCGCUCCAUGAGCCUCAUCGGGUUUGUAGUCCUCCAGGGUGCUCCAUCGUACGAGGACCAGUUUAAAGACUCCAGAUUCAAGAUAAAAGGAGAAGACACAGGGAAAGGAUCUCUGAUCAUUCAAACAGUGACUCCAUCAGACUCAGCUGUGUAUUUCUGCGCUGCCAGCACACAGUGAUGUGGUUUAAUGUUACCCCCUCACUAAAAACCCUGCUCUCUUUUUCUCUCUUGUUUUCAUGCUCAA